rnacentral:rRNA from 1 species
AUUGAACGCUGGCGGCAGGCCUAACACAUGCAAGUCGAACGGUAACAGGAAGCAGCUUGCUGCUUCGCUGACGAGUGGCGGACGGGUGAGUAAUGUCUGGGAAGCUGCCUGAUGGAGGGGGAUAAUUACUGGAAACGGUAGCUAAUACCGCAUAAUGUCGCAAGACCAAAGAGGGGGACCUUCGGGCCUCUUGCCAUCGGAUGUGCCCAGAUGGGAUUAGCUUGUUGGUGGGGUAACGGCUCACCAAGGCGACGAUCCCUAGCUGGUCUGAGAGGAUGACCAGCCACACUGGAACUGAGACACGGUCCAGACUCCUACGGGAGGCAGCAGUGGGGAAUAUUGCACAAUGGGCGCAAGCCUGAUGCAGCCAUGCCGCGUGUAUGAAGAAGGCCUUCGGGUUGUAAAGUACUUUCAGCGGGGAGGAAGGGAGUAAAGUUAAUACCUUUGCUCAUUGACGUUACCCGCAGAAGAAGCACCGGCUAACUCCGUG